GGAUUAAGAGCUUGCUCUUAUGAAGUUAGCGGCGGACGGGUGAGUAACACGUGGGUAACCUACCCAUAAGACUGGGAUAACUCCGGGAAACCGGGGCUAAUACCGGAUAAUAUUUUGAACUGCAUAGUUCGAAAUUGAAAGGCGGCUUCGGCUGUCACUUAUGGAUGGACCCGCGUCGCAUUAGCUAGUUGGUGAGGUAACGGCUCACCAAGGCGACGAUGCGUAGCCGACCUGAGAGGGUGAUCGGCCACACUGGGACUGAGACACGGCCCAGACUCCUACGGGAGGCAGCAGUAGGGAAUCUUCCGCAAUGGACGAAAGUCUGACGGAGCAACGCCGCGUGAGUGAUGAAGGCUUUCGGGUCGUAAAACUCUGUUGUUAGGGAAGAACAAGUGCUAGUUGAAUAAGCUGGCACCUUGACGGUACCUAACCAGAAAGCCACGGCUAACUACGUGCCAGCAGCCGCGGUAAUACGUAGGUGGCAAGCGUUAUCCGGAAUUAUUGGGCGUAAAGCGCGCGCAGGUGGUUUCUUAAGUCUGAUGUGAAAGCCCACGGCUCAACCGUGGAGGGUCAUUGGAAACUGGGAGACUUGAGUGCAGAAGAGGAAAAGUGGAAUUCCAUGUGUAGCGGU
rnacentral:rRNA from 1 species